rfam:Myotis brandtii contig221846, whole genome shotgun sequence.
GGUGGUUCUCGGGUGACGCACCCUGGAAUUGGGCUCCCUCCUCUCUGGUUCUGGGGUGCAUCACCCGAGAACCGCC